rnacentral:rRNA from 1 species
GUCAGUUGGGGGAAUACUUGCUACAAUGGGGGAAACCCUGAUGCAGCCAUGCCGCGUGUGUGAAGAAGGCCUUCGGGUUGUAAAGCACUUUCAGUAGGGAGGAAGGUAGUGUAGUUAACACCUGCAUUAUUUGACGUUACCUACAGAAGAAGCACCGGCUAACUCCGUGCCAGCAGCCGCGGUAAUACGGAGGGUGCGAGCGUUAAUCGGAAUUACUGGGCGUAAAGCGCAUGCAGGCGGCCUGUUAAGUCAGAUGUGAAAGCCCGGGGCUUAACCUCGGAAUUGCAUUUGAAACUGGCAGGCUAGAGUCUUGUAGAGGGGGUAGAAUUUCAGGUGUAGCGGUGAAAAUGCGUAGAGAUCUGAAGGAAUACCAGUGGCGAAGGCGGCCCCCCUGGACAAAGACUGACGCUCAGACUGCGAAAGCGUGGGGAGCCAAACAGGAUUAGAUACCCCUGGUAG